UACAGAGGUCUCAAGCGUUGUUCGGAUUCAUUGGGCGUAAAGAGCUCGUAGGCGGCUGCUCAAGUCGAAUGUGAAAACUCGAGGCUCAACCUCGAGCCUGCAUUCGAUACUGGGCGGCUAGAGUCUGGUAGGGGGAUCUGGAAUUCCUGGUGUAGCGGUGGAAUGCGCAGAUAUCAGGAGGAACACCGGUGGCGAAGGCGGGAUCCUGGGCCAGUACUGACGCUGAGGAGCGAAAGCGUGGGGAGCAAACAGG
rnacentral:rRNA from 1 species